CCUACGGGAGGCUGCAGUGGGGAAUAUUGGACAAUGGGCGAAAGCCUGAUCCAGCCAUGCCGCGUGUGUGAAGAAGGCCUUCGGGUUGUAAAGCACUUUCAGUGGGGAAGAAAGCCUUGGGGCUAAUACCCUCGAGGAAGGACAUCACCCACAGAAGAAGCACCGGCUAACUCCGUGCCAGCAGCCGCGGUAAUACGGAGGGUGCGAGCGUUAAUCGGAAUUACUGGGCGUAAAGCGCGCGUAGGCGGUCUGAUAAGCCGGUUGUGAAAGCCCCGGGCUCAACCUGGGAACGGCAUCCGGAACUGUCAGGCUAGAGUGCAGGAGAGGAAGGUAGAAUUCCCGGUGUAGCGGUGAAAUGCGUAGAGAUCGGGAGGAAUACCAGUGGCGAAGGCGGCCUUCUGGACUGACACUGACGCUGAGGUGCGAAAGCGUGGGUAGCAAACAGGAUUAGUACCCGGGUAGUC
rnacentral:rRNA from 1 species